CACACUUCUAUGAAAAUCUUCUAUGCGCCCUCUGGUAGCGUGGAUGCUAACAUAUCUAGUCUCGCGUAACAAUCCCUGCUGUUGCCAUCAACUGUUGUUGCCAUGGCUAAUAAAUUGAUGUUGUUGCCAUCAACUGUUGUUGCCAUGGCUAAUAAAUUGAUUCAGGGUCGAUGUGAGAUGGAUAUUAGAUAUUCUAUUCCAAUUGCCGAAAUGGCAAAGAAGGAAAGAAUUCGGAUACUCUUCUUUGUCAAAAUGGCAUUAUAUUAAUGAGGGUGUCGUCGAAGUUUGCUAAACUAAUUCUCCUUCCGACAAUGUCGACCGCAAAAGGCCAGGCUUGUUUAUAGUUCUUUAUCCAAUGCCGACAUGGUGGCUAGACGAGCUAACCUACUAAGAAAAGGAAGCUCAUUUCAACCGAUAUCGUAGACUCUCACGUAGACUCUCACAAAAGAGGUGGAGGAUUUUGAGAAGGAUAUGGCGGAGAACACCAAAGAGCAGACCAAUGCCGCUAUUGACUCAUUGAUUAUGUCAUUAUGACAGACAUCUAGAAAACAGGUCACACUUCUACAUUUAUGAGGUUAUCCAGAUAUUAGAGAAAUGAGGUAGUAAAGAUGAUAGAUUUAUCAAAUAUUAGGAGUUGAUUGUUUAUACAAAUGAAAGUUUGGUGGACACCCUUGAUAGUGACCAAAUGAUAUUGCAUCAUUGUUGCAGUCUACUUGACAUGGGCAGAUCCUAAUGCUAGGGUGUACUUUCAAGUUCAUUCCGAAGCUACUACUCUAGAGUUUCAGAAACUACCUUUGAAGUAUAGUAAUUUUAUUGCUGCUUUGUAUUGAUGUUCUUUAUUGCUGCUUUGUAUUGAUGUUCUUUAUUGUUGCUUUGUAUUGAUGUUCAUUGUUUUAGUAUGUUUGAUGCUUGUCUAGCUUAGUGAUACUUUUUAGUGUGUUAGACUAAAUUUUUUAUGAGAUGAAGCCUGUUUCUCUCAUAAGGUCUAAGCAUGGCUACACCCUGCUUUGGUGUAUCUUUUCUUGCUGGAUUUAAACAAUUAAGUUACCAAAAUAAAGAAUCACAGACUUAUGCAAUGCAAGGAUUUUUUUAAA